GUUUCAAUUCCUCAUAGGCAGGCUAUCGGCGUCACAGGGUAUACGAGGUCCGCCAAAUGUAUGACUG
rnacentral:sRNA from 1 species